rnacentral:rRNA from 1 species
AGUGAACGCUGGCGGUAGGCCUAACACAUGCAAGUCGAACGGCAGCACAGUAAGAGCUUGCUCUUACGGGUGGCGAGUGGCGGACGGGUGAGGAAUACAUCGGAAUCUACUUUUUCGUGGGGGAUAACGUAGGGAAACUUACGCUAAUACCGCAUACGACCUACGGGUGAAAGCAGGGGAUCUUCGGACCUUGCGCGAUUGAAUGAGCCGAUGUCGGAUUAGCUAGUUGGCGGGGUAAAGGCCCACCAAGGCGACGAUCCGUAGCUGGUCUGAGAGGAUGAUCAGCCACACUGGAACUGAGACACGGUCCAAACUCCUACGGGAGGCAGCAGUGGGGAAUAUUGGACAAUGGGCGCAAGCCUGAUCCAGCCAUACCGCGUGGGUGAAGAAGGCCUUCGGGUUGUAAAGCCCUUUUGUUGGGAAAGAAAAGCAGCAGGUUAAUACCCCGCUGUUCUGACGGUACCCAAAGAAUAGGCACCGGCUAACUUCGUG